AGAAAAUAUUAAUUCUGCUGUCUUGAGCAUUUCUCUAAUGUUUGUGAGUAUCACAGGACAUACAAAAAUGGGAAUGCUCUACAUUCUCUUGCCUUGUAUUAGUCAAGCCAUCCUCAGCCUGGAGAUCAAAACUGAGGUUAUCCCAUGGUCAUGCUUUCAUUUGUGGCUGCUGGAAGAAAAUAAAGAUGAAAUAAGAAGUGAAAAUAAUAUUGGAACAUAGCUGGUGUCCUCCAGUCUGUAGUUCCAGCUGGGUCUCCUUCAGCCAAAUCUGCUGGGACCUUGAGGAGUGAACUGAAAAAUGCUCUCUCCAUUCCUAUCCAUCUCAACUGGAAAUGCUUAAAACCUGUUUUAUUCAGCAAAACUUGCUCUCUCUUUCACCCCUAGGAGGAGCAUGUUUUCUAAGGAUGGGUCUUUGAUGAUAUAACUUAUCUCCUGGGUUUGGAGAGACUUUUACUUUAUUUACAUAGCUUUCCUCGAAAGCAGAAACACAUCCAGGGCUAGGUAGGUGCCUUUCUAAGUGAGUUCUGCAGAGGUAGAUAUUUGGUACAACUGGUCCUGGCUGGGUUUUUUUCUCCCUCAAUCUUCUUUCCUUCUCCUUUACACACUUCUAAAAUGUCCUCUACUUCACAGGUACUAAAUAACUUUAACUUUACUCAGCAAAGUCCCAGCUUGUAUCUCUCAGCUUUGUCUUGGCUCCUUCGACUCACAUUUACCUCUGAAUCUGUUGUGUUUAUUAAAGACCAGAACCAACCUGCCUGAUUUUCUGAACUGCGCCUGUUGGCUUUAUAAACAUUUUACUUCUAUCUUCGAAUGUGUUGAAGCAGUGAAUUUAUCCAGCAGAAUUUGUGUCUGAUUCAUGUACUCUUCUUCUUCAGGAAGAUAACAUCAAGGUUAAAGACACAUCUUUAAAACUUAAUUACAAGUAUCAGGAGGAAGACAGAGCGAUCCUGUCUUUCAUCUUGCCGAGCCAUAGGUAAGAUGUGAUAUAUGACAAAUAUUGAAGCCAGAGCCACAGUUCACAGAGGAAGAUUUAAACACUGUAGGGUGAUGUAUAUACGAAUGACUGUUUUCUAGAACCACAGGGGUGAUUUAUGAGGUCUAUGAUUUCUAAAAUAAGAAAUGAGAAUGUUUCGUGGAAAGCUGUCUUCACUCCUCUAAAUGAGUG
rnacentral:lncRNA from 1 species